UUAAGGUCUAAUCUGCUCAAUGAAUUAAAAAUUUAAAUAGCUGCAGUAUUUUGACUGUACAAAGGUAGCAUAAUAAAUAGUUUUUUAAUUGAAAGCUGGAAUGAAGGAUUGGACGAGAAAAUUACUGUCUCAGUUUAAUUAAUAUUGAAUUUAACUUUUUAGUUAAAAGGCUAAAAUAGUUUUAAAAGACGAGAAGACCCUAUAGAGUUUUAUAGUUAAUGUUUUUUAAUUUAUUUAGAAUUAUUAAGAUUUAAAUUUAUAUUAAUUAUUUGGUUGGGGUGAUUGGAAAAUUUAAUAAACUUUUUUAUUUAUAAAUUAUUUAUAUAUAAAUUUAUUUUCUAAAUUUUUAAAUUUAAAAUAAAUUACCUUGGGGGAUAACAGCGUA
rnacentral:rRNA from 1 species